GGGGAUGCACUGGUUUCGACGGGGAGUACAAAGUUUAGGAUGCAUGCCGUGCCUGAAUGAUGCACGUUAAUCUUUAUUUCAAUUUGUUAUAGUUGCAAACGACGAUAACUACGCUCUAGCGGCUUAAUCCCGCUAGCGCAGACUGGGGCCGUUGUUCGUGGCGCCCAGUUCUGUGUCGACUUACACGGAAUCGUCAGCUUCAUGUGUUUGGAUGAAGUCUGAUUAAACGUUACAAACUCGCCGAAUAUGAUCCCUGUUGAUCGGGCAGUAUUCUGGUUAAAGCAAUAGAUCAAAUAAGCAUGUAGAGUUUUAAAUGGAGGCUUCUCGGACGGCGGUUCGACUCCGCCCAUCUCCACCA
rnacentral:tmRNA from 1 species